rnacentral:lncRNA from 1 species
GUUUGCUUUUUUUUGUUUUAACUUUUUUUUUAAUUUUUUUUUAUUGUGCAGGAAUGGAAAAUCUUUCCAAAAUAUGUGUAGAUACUUCUGAUGCGUUUAUAACGACUAAAAGAUUUGGUACACAAGAAGAGGUGAUCAGAUGGAUUAAAGAGGUUGGAAUCGAUAAUAAAGUAACUGUUAUUAUCAGUCGUUCAGAUACUGAAACAAGGAAGAGAGGGAG